GACGAACGCUGGCGGUGUGCUUAACACAUGCAAGUCGAACGGUAAGGCCCUUUCGGGGGUACACGAGUGGCGAACGGGUGAGUAACACGUGAGUAACCUGCCCUCAUCUCUGGGAUAACAGUCGGAAACGGUUGCUAAUACUGGAUAUGAGCUUGCAAGGCAUCUUGUGGGUUGGAAAGAUUUUUUUUGGUUGGGGAUGGACUCGCGGCCUAUCAGCUUGUUGGUGAGGUAGUGGCUCACCAAGGCUUCGACGGGUAGCCGGCCUGAGAGGGCGACCGGCCACAUUGGGACUGAGAUACGGCCCAAACUCCUACGGGAGGCAGCAGUGGGGAAUAUUGCACAAUGGACGCAAGUCUGAUGCAGCAACGCCGCGUGCGGGAUGACGGCCUUCGGGUUGUAAACCGCUUUCAAUUGUGACGAAGCUUUUUUGUGACGGUAGCAGUAGAAGAAGCACCGGCUAACUACGUG
rnacentral:rRNA from 1 species